rnacentral:lncRNA from 1 species
CUUCAUGUAGGCCAGCAUUUCAGGUGUCCAUGUUUCUAAGGCUUUUGCUUAAAUUGCCCAUUGCAGCUCUAUUUUAUUUUUAGGAAUCUGACUUGGAGUAGACGAGAAGUGUGAGACACUUGCUGUCACCCUCAAGCAGGCAGGUUGUUCUGAGUGCUCUUCCUAGGGAAGGAAUCCCGUUUCCAGCAGGUUAUUCCGAGUGCUCUUCCUAGGGAAGGAAUCCCGUUUCCAGCAGGUUAUUCCGAGUGCUCUUCCUAGGGAAGGAAUCCCAGUCACCCUCAAGCAGGCAGGUUGUGGCAGGUUGUUCUGAGUGCUCUUCCUAGGGAAGGAACCCCAUUUCCAGCAGGUUAUUCCGAGUGCUCUUCCUAGGGAAGGAACCCCAUUUCCACAGGUUAUUCCGAGUGCUCUUCCUAGCAAAGGAAUCCCAUUUCCAGCAGGUUAUUCUGAGUGCUCUUCCUAGCGAAGGAAUCCCAUUUCCAGCAGGUUAUUCCAAGUGCUCUUCCUAGGGAAGGAAUCCCAGUCACCCUCAAGCAGGCAGGUUGUGGCAGGUUGUUCUGAGUGCUCUUCCUAGGGAAGGAACCCCAUUUCCAGCAGGUUAUUCUGAGUGCUCGUCCUAGGGAAGGAACCCCAUUUCCAGCAGGUUAUUCCGAGUGCUCUUCCUAGGGAAGGAAUCCCAUUUCCAGCAGGUUAUUCCGAGUGCUCUUCCUAGGGAAGGAAUCUCAUUUCCACAGGUUAUUCCGAGUGCUCUUCCUAGGGAAGGAACCCCAUUUCCAGCAGGUUAUUCUGAGUGCUCUUCCUAGCGAAGGAAUCCCAUUUCCAGCAGGUUAUUCCAAGUGCUCUUCCUAGCGAAGGAAUCCCAUUUCCAGCAGGUUAUUCCGAGUGCUCUUCCUAGCGAAGGAAUCCCAUUUCCAGCAGGUUAUUCCAAGGAAUCCCAUUUCCAGCAGGUUAUUCCGAGUGCUCUUCCUAGCGAAGGAAUCCCAUUUCCAGCAGGUUAUUCCGAGUGCUCUUCCUAGGGAAGGAACCCCAUUUCCAGUAGGUUAUUCCGAGUGCUCUUCCUAGGGAAGGAACCCCAUUUCCAGUAGGUUAUUCCGAGUGCUCUUCCUAGGGAAGGAACCCCAUUUCCAGUAGGUUAUUCCGAGUGCUCUUCCUAGGGAAGGAACCCCAUUUCCAGCUGUGCACAUGCAGCAUUUCCCCUGGCAUUCUUUCAACAGGGAACCAGAUCUCCUCAUCCGAUGGCAACUCAGGAAGGGUUGGUGUCAUACCCUGCAUCGAGCAGCAGCCUCGGACCUGCCCCCACGCUCUGCGUGCCCUGUACUGGUCAUGCUGGUCUCAGCUUGUCUGCUCUCAGUCCUGUCUGAUCUGCACAGAGAAGCCACCCUAGACAUAAGAAAUCAGGCACCCCUUCUCGGGGGUGGGCAGAGCCCUGGGUACUGGCUCUUUGUUCUUCGAGAGAGGAAGGAGUGGCGGUAGUUAGCUUCAAUCCCUGAGCUGGGUUUGGAGAUCAGAACACCUUGUCCAUUGCGGCUCCUGUUUCAUUGUUAAGAGUCCACACAGGAUGUUCUCUGGCCUGGACACCGCUAAGCCAGCUUUCAGACAAGUCCCCUCAGUAAGAGCAGAGUGAACUCUUUAUUGAUUAUACAAAUUACCACUAUUUAUUUUAAACCCAAAGUGACUUCAAAGUUGUUUUUUGGUUUUUAAAAGGGCUAGAGAAAAUGGACUGAGGGGAAGGAAUGGGCACAAUAUCUAGGUUUAGCUGAAUCACAGAGCUGUUAGCUGCUGCUUUCAUCCACAGGUACUCCUUUUACAUUAUUAUUUUUUAGAGAGUCUUGCUCCGUCACCCAGGCAGGAGUGCAAUGGCAUGAUCUCGGCUCACUGCAGCCUCUGCCUCCUGGGUUCAAGCGAUCCUCCUGCCUCAGCCUCCUGAGUAGCUGGGAUUACAGGCGCCCACCACCACACCUGGCUAAUUUUGUAUUUUUAGUAAAGACAGGGUUUCACCAUGUCGGCCAGGCUGGUCUCGAACUCCUGACCUCACAUGAUCCACCUGCCUCGGCCUCCCAAAGUGCUGGGAUUACAGGUGUGAGCCACCAUGCCCAGCCUAUUUUUUAAUAGAGAUGGGGUCUCACUCUGUUGCCCAGGCUUGUCUUGAAGUCCUGGGCUCAAGCAAUCUUCCCACCUCAGCCUCUCCAAGCACUGGCAUUACAGGUGUGAUGCCACAGUACCCGGCCUAGGGUGCCCCUUUGAUACGUUAUUUUUGAAGUGAUGUUAAUAAAUAAAGCUUCUGCUUGGGGGUUGGUCAUCAAAACAAGAAGAAUCCUCAUCAGUAUGGAGAGAGCCCAAUUCUGGGCAUGGUCCCCACCACCACCAAAAGUUUUUUUUUUUUUAACUGAGUCUCACUCUGUCUCCCAGGCUGGAGUGCAGUGGCGGGACCUCGGCUCACUGCAACCUCUGCCUCCCAGAUUCAACUGAUUCCCCUGCCUCAGCCUCCCAAGUAGCUGGGAUUACAGGCACCCGCCACCUGUUUUUUGUUUUUUGUUUUUUUUUUUUUUUUGUAUUUUUAGUAGAGAUGGGAUUUUGCCAUGUUGGCUAGGCUGGUCUCAAACUCCUGACCUCACGUGAUCCGCCCACCUCGGCCUCCCAAAGUGCUGGGAUUACAGGCGUGAGCCACCGCGCCUGACCCAACACAAGUUUAAAAUGAAAGCUGUUAUCAGUAGAGAAUCUUCACCACGUUGGCACCAGCUCAAGUGUAGUGUCUGCGCACUUUUAGCUUAGAGUCAGAAAAAGAGACAUGUAUGAAAAUGUGUGGCAGGAGCCCUUCCAUAAAGCAAAUCUCUCUGUUGCAAUGGUUCUUAACAAGGUGUAAACGUUAUAACUACCUAUGGAACUUUUAAACCUGUAUGCCAGGCCCCAUCCAAACUUACUGACUCAAAAUCUCCGGGCAUCUGUUUUUUUGUUUGUUUGUUUGUUUGUUUUGAGAUAGAGUCUCACUCUGUCACCAGGGUGGAGUGCAGUGGCGUGAUCUCGGCUCACUGCAAUCUUUGCCUCCCGGGUUCAAGUGAUUCUCCUGCCUCAGCCUCCCAAGUAGCUGGGAGGUGUACACGCCACCACAGCCCGGUAAUUUUUGUAUUUUUUGUAGAGAUGGGGUUUCACCAUAUUGGCAAGGAUGGUCUCAAUUUCCUGAGCUUGUGAUCCGCCCGCCUCAGCCUCCCCAAGUGCUGGGAUUCCAGGCGUGAGCCACGGCGCCCGGCCGGCAUCUGUAUAUUUUAAAAGGCCCCAGUGGUUCUGAUGCACACCCCCAGAAGAGAAACACAGCGUCUCUACACAGUACUCAGUCCCCAUCAAGGAGACAUUUAACAGAAACUCCUACUGACAUCCAUUGGCUCCUUGGGGAUUACUGACAAUGUAACAAAUCAAGACAGCAACUUCCCUGGCUGUGACCACCAACUGUGGAAAACAGCAGCUUGAUAGCUCAAUGCUGUGAUGGAGCCGUCCGGAAAACGACUCCUCAACAACGAACCAAAAAGAGAAGUGGUGAUCUGUACACAAACGCCAGGAGUGACAAGAACCAGGUGCAGGAGUCCACUGGCUUUCCCCAGCUCUCCUGGGUUGAGGACAGACGGCUGAACUGGCUGUGCUAUUUGGAGAUGGGCCCCACCGCCCCUUUUCAACUGUACGGCUCAGGCUGCUUAACCAUAGCAACCCCAUGGGCUGGGGUGGGGGCAUCUACAGGGCUUCCUGGGGGCUCUCCCGACUGCCACCCCCCGCCCUUGUCUUAUUUGUAAUCUUUUCCUAAUAGACCUCAACUAAAGGCCGCACCUCCUUCUCGCAACACUUCUUUUCUCCUCCGCAUUCUCAAAUUUGAGACGCUUGAUGCGUGAGAGUCAAACCAGCUAGCAAGGACAGCCUGGAAGCCGAUGAAGAAAUGACGCUCAGGAUCAGAGCUGGACGGCAUCGGGGAGAAAGCCUGGCAGAGAAGGCAGGGGCACAGAGCAGUGGUUAUGUUGGGAAACAAGGUGGGGAUGAGGAAAUCAGGUUUCCAGGCAGAUUUCCAAACCUUAUUCCUACUGUACGGGUGUUACAAGUUUUAUGGAUUUUAAGGAAAUUUCCUCUGUCCUGAAAACUUUUUGAGACGGGGUCUUGCUCUGUCACCCAGGCUGGAGUGCAGUGGUGAAAUCUUGGCUCACUGCAGCCUCCACCUCCCGGGUUUAAGUGAUUCUCCUGUCUCAGCCUCCCCAGUAGCUGGGAUUACAGGCACUCGCCAUGACACCCAGCUAAUUUUUUAAUUUUUAGUUGAGACAGGGUUUCGCCAUGUUGGCCAGGCUGGUCUCGAAUUCCUGACCUCAGGUGAUCCACCUGCCUCAGCCUCCCAAAGUGCUGUGAUUACAGGCAUGAGCCACCACACCCAGCCAAUUUUUUGUAUUUUUGGUUUCACCAGGUUGCCCAGACUGGUCUCAAACUCCUGAGCUCAAGCAAUCUGCCCACCUCAGCCUCCCUAGCAGUUGGGACUACAGGUGCAUGCCACCACACCUUGCAAAUUUUUAUUUUUGUAGACAUCUGUAUGUUGCCCAGGCUGGUCUCAAACUCCUGGACUCAAGUGAUCCUCCUGCCUUGGUCUCCCAAAGUGUUGGGACUACAGGCAUGAGCCGCCGUGCCUGGCAAGAUAUCAUUCUUCAGCAAAAGCAGGCAGCAACAGCAGCGGUUUGCCUGUAGCUGUGGUCAUGGUUAACUGAGGCCUGGUUUCAAGGGAACCGAGUGAAUCAGGAUAAUGGCUUGAUAUGCUGCCGUUCUCUGGAUGCAGGAUGACAUGAGAGGCUGGGAGCAGUCUCUUCGGCAAGCCCUGCUGCAGAGAGCCCGCGGUGGACAGGAAGGGCGGGGGGGCGGGCAGGCUGCGUGCCAGGCCAGGCUCUCAGCCUGGUCUUUAAGGUCCAUUUUCUGUUCCUGAGGCAUCCAGAACCCCAGACUCCUUCUCAUAACACAGGAACACAUCACUGGGACGCUGCACAUCAACUUUGCUAUUUCAGAUGAUGCUGGAAAGUGCUGUGGACCUGAAGGUGAGUGGGCAGAAAGGGGUUUGAGGGUAUGGACUUCCUGGGCGUUCCCGUGGCUUCAUCUGAUGAGAAAACCUAGGAAACGUCUUCCAAGUGAACUUCCUGGUUUCCCUUCCCUAGAAGCCAGGAGCAGGGUGGGAGUAAAGAAAUGGAAGAAGGGGCUGGGCUCGGUGGCUCACGCCUGUAAUCCGAUACUCAGGAGGCUGAGGCAGGAGAAUUGCUUGAACC